UCUGCUGGAACAGCGACGCCAUGCUCAGCUCUCCCAGGCAGCUCCAAUCCACGAUGGACUUAGGCUAGAAUCUUCCCGUCACCAGCCAACUCGGAUUGAAGUGAUCUAACAGUGUGGGCCCCUGUUUGUCUUGGCUCAGUCACAGUUGCUAUGGAAACAAGUCGCUGACCUACUUCCUCCCACCUCCAGGAAACACCGUAUUAUAAGAUGCUGCUCCCAUGCCUGGCUUGCCCUUACUCCCAUCUUCAGUGGGGCUAAGCAGUCUUUCCCAGGGGUUUGGAAAGACCAAGCUGACCUGGAAUGGGGUGUGUGAGCUGCUUUCUUAGGGUGGCGUUUUCCGUGUUCUUAAAAUGACUUUUGCAAGACUAUCGGAUGAACGGAUGGCCUCUAGCAGAAUGUGAAAAUGGACAUUUGGGCUUAGCUGUUUAUGACCAAACAGGAUGCCUCCCGUCCUAGCUCCCUGCCUUUUCCAGCACUGUCCAGGGAUGCCCGUUCAAGUUUGGUGAAGACUAGCAGAGGCAGUAUCACGUGGCUGGACACCCUUGAGGGAGAACACGCUUAUCAGCGAUAUAACAAAGUGAGGCCCAGAUCAUAUCUGUGAAGUGUGUUCUUGGCAGUAUACUCUUGGAAUGUUCUUCAGCUCUGUUAGGACAAUAACAGCAGUAGUCAGUGCUUUGAUGGGGUCCCUGUGACCACAGUGGUGAACAUGAACACGACAUACUCCUGAAAGCCUCUCAGGGUGGACUCUAGCCAGAGGAGGAGGGGACACAUCUGAGCCUGGGACAUCCUACAGAGCACAGUACGAGACACCUGUCAGCCUGUACCGUGGUGGGGCGAAUCUCUAUGUGGACAAUCUGGAGACAGGAGCUGGGGAGGGCUGAGGAUUGGGAGUGAUAAUUACACAUUCUUGCACACAGCCAGGGAAAAGGGCUGCGUGGUUCCACAGCUGUCUCCGUUCUGGUAGCACGGGCCUGGCUGCCAGCUAUCCACUUAUAGAUGCUCAGAGCCCCCAGGAGGCUCGGGGAGGAGGGUGACUCCAGACAAGUUGUUUUUGAGACAGGCUCUCAGUAGGUAGCCCCAGCUGUUCUAGAACUUGCUAUGUAGACCAGGCUGGCUGCAAACUCACAGAGAUCUACCUGCCUCUGCCUCCUGAAUGCUGUGAUGAAAGGUCUGUGCCACCAUGCCUGGUUUGACUUCAAGACUUAUCAAGACUUACCUGAUGUUGUACCAAAAUUAACUUUGGAUCCAUUUAUCUGCCUGGAGAUGGCACCACAGGAAAUUAACACGGGGUUGGGGGUUAACAAGACUCUGCAAUGUAACAAAGUUCAAUUCUCUGCUGCCAGACGAAGAUGAUAAAUCUUGAGGAAGAGAUGGAGGAAGAAAAGAGGCUUAUUAACAAGCUAAAAAAUGGCUGUAGGUGCAAAGAAAAGUCAUUCUAAACUGGCGGUCGCUUUGCAAUCCAGAUACAUCAGACCCUCUCAGGAUAGACACUCCCAAUGGCCAGGCGGCACUCUGGAGCAGAACCAGACUGAGUUUUGUUAGUAUUCAGGCACAGCUUGGAUCCUGGUCUGUCAGCCUCCCAGAUUACGUGGGUCAUGCCUGGAAAGGCUGUGAGGUGAACAGGCCUGGGGAAGCUCUUCACUUACCCACAAUGCCCGCUGCUCUGCUCCAAGGCAAGAAGCCAAGGACCCAUGCCUGGGAUCUGAGAAUUUCCUUUGAGACAUCUCGCUGUCACACACCACCGAUAAAGAAAAGGGGGUGACCGUGCCCCAGGGGCAGGGCCAAGGUGUGCCUGGAUACUAACAAAAGCCUCUGGGAAAAAGCCGAGUGUUCUAGUUUGCCAUUCUGUUGCUGCGACCAGAAACAACUUGGGGAGGACAAGGUUUAUUUGGCUUACACUUCUAGAUUCCCACCCAUCCUUGAGGGACACCAAGGUAGGAACUCACACAGCAGCAGAGGCAGGAACCAUAGAGGAAUGCCGCUCACUGGCCUGCUUUCCUGGCUUGCUUAGCCAGCUUUCCUAUACAACCCAGGGCCACCUGUGUGGGCGUGCCAGCAUCCACAGUGGGCUGGGCCCUCCCCGCAUCGAUCAUUAAUCAGCCAGCACCUCACAGACUAGCCUUUGGGAAAUACCUGACGGAGGCAUUUUCUCAGCUGAGGGUCUUCUUCCCCGAUGACUGAAGCUUGUAUAGGUUACAAAAAUAACUAACCAGCAUGCAAAGCCCACAGCCAUGCCUGUCGGCCACCUUCCCGACAUAUGUGCACGUACUCCAGCAUUACCGCCACCGCUUUAACUCUCUGAACGUGUGCCCCAAGACUUUGAGCUGAGCCUGCCAUCUUGCCUUUCUUAAGCUGUGCUUUGGGACUGAGCCUGCUCAGGAACGUCCUCCUGAAUGAGCAUGCUCAGCAACGCGCCUGCUGCUGACGGUCUGUGCUAGAUGAAUAUUCAUCAGGUUCCCUUUGUUCAGGGAAGCAUUGCUUUGACAUAAUUCACCUGUUGCUGAUAUUACAUCCUUUUCUCUCUUGUUUCUUGGCUGUGCUUUUGUGCGGGUGUGCACACGCGUGCACACACAUGCUCCCUCUUCUUGGACUUUGCCUUCUGCAUCCCCCUUGGAUGGUUCUUCAUGCCUAUGCCUGCCCUGGUACCCGCUAGGCUGUGUUAUGAUGCUUGCAGAGCCUUCACCAUCAGAUUGUCUGGUAGUGACCCUGAGCAGCCUGGGGUCUACAGGCAGUUCCAGGGGACCGUCCAGUGACGGCCAGCCAAGAGCCAGCUAUAUGACACUAAUUUAGCGUGAGCAACACAGAUAAGUCACAGCAAUCAUUCACCUCCCUGCAUCUCUACACACACCUUAUUAGCCUUUUCUGGGGGGCUUCUGAAACUCCUGACCUUGGAGCAGUUACCUCCCUUCAACUGUGAAGAGCGGAAAUGACGUCUGUUGCAAGGGCCGUGCAGCUUCUGGGAAAGAUGACUCACACCUGUUUAAGAGUCUGCCCAAAUCCCUGCGUCCUUCCGGCCUGACAGCCCACCCUGGGAUGACACGGCAGGAGGAAGGAGGUGAGGGGUAGGGGAGAGCUGGCAUACACAGCUUCAGUUUGGGGCCUCAGGGCCUGACAGGAUUGCUCAGUUUUAAGGGACUUGACCUAGAACGAGUUUGUGACGGCCUAUAUUCUGAAAUGCCUGUGUAUUCUGGGCAUUUGGGACAGCGAAGCCGUAGCUGCCACACCCGCAGCAGAGGCUAAUGGGCGACUUUGACCCAGUCCGGAACUGUUGAAAUGUGCUUGCCCUGUAACACGGGAUUACGCUGACAAUGGGCUACUGACGUCAGUCCCAGGCAAGUGGCAUUUGCCUGCCAAAAGGCUCAGAGGCUGUGUUAGAGUUUGCCCUGUUGUAGGUAGAGGGAGAGCUGGGUCAAACUGACCUGCUGUGGGUCUGGAUACAUCACAGAAAGGAAGAAACAAAACGUGCUGCUAAGGGGUUGUCGUUCACAGGGCGCUGGGCCGUUCCCGCGGCUCCAGGGAAGGGGCCUGCUCUUUUUGGACAGAAGUUCCCCAAGCUUUCAAUCUCCUCUCCCCAAGGUGCACAGAGUGGCUGCCUGCAAGUCCAUUGUGCUUUCCUGAGACAGGCUCAAGGGUGACCCUACUAGGGACAGGGUACAUCCUGAGGACAUCAUCUGUCGACGGGGGUCAUAGUGGGUCUGGAUGAGAGUGUUCCUAACAGGCAGGGAUGGAGCACGGUCUGACCUGAGAACAAGACACUAUUUUAAAGCUCUUAAAUAUGCCUAGGGAUGGUCUCAUUGCUUUUAGGUGUUGGGGCAUUUUCUGACCUCCAUGCACCAUGUUUAACGCUUGACAUCUCUCCAAAGCUAAGCAAAGGCUACCAACCUGAAGGACCAGGCUUUAAAACAGAACUCUAAGAGAGAAAAGGUUACAGUUAGAUGGCUCCGCAGGCUAAAGCCAGUCUCCAAGCCUGACCACCUGAUUGGUCCCAAGAUCACAUGGUGGAAGGAGAGAAAUAAUUCCCACAAGCUGUCGUCUGACCUACACACAUACACACAUGCGUGCACACACGCACACACACACGUACAUACACUCACACAAACACAAGAUAAAUAAUUAAAUAAAUAUAGUUCAGAAAUGAAAAGAGAAGAGCUGCGUGCCUAAGCUGUGAGAGUUGGAGGGGCUAUGGGUGGGUCAGAUGCACUGGGCCUGUUACCCUACCAGAUACACAGGGACCAUGACAUAAGCUGGAGUGUCCGUCAUCCCACUGGACCUGCCUGGCCACCCUGUUGUUGCCAGGUUCCCUAGGGCACACAAGGACUUCACAGAGAGUGCGGGUGCCGCUGUGUCUCCCGGAAGGUAAUGUGGUAGUGGGGAGGCUCUGCCGAGGCUUAGGUCUGUUCCGCUGCUUUGUUCUCUCAGCCCAAAAAUAUGGGAGCAUUGGCAAAACCAGAGGUUGGCAGCUCUAUUUAAAUAGGCAAAACUGUCAGGUGUUGGACUGCAAAACUACAUUGGGUCGUGUGGCUCUUCCACCCUUGAGCCUGAAAGGUGGUGGGUGGACACCAUUUGGAAUCUCCUAGGGAUGCCCAGGGUCACUCUUCCCUGGGAAUGCUGCCCCUGGGAAGCAGUGUUUACUCAGGUAGAUCACAGAGGAGGCUCUAGGGAAUCUAAUAAUUCCAUUUGAAUCUACAAAUAUGGAAAGUCUUCAUUUAUUCCAAGUGAAUAAGAAAAUACUGGCAGAAAACCACGAAUUCCUAUAGACAUCGAAGUUCAAGUGUUCAUUUCCCUAACUUGCUCAUGUCUCUUUGUCAGGGCCGGGGAUCGAACCCAGGUUUUUUUUUUUUUUUUUUUUUUUUUUCCCGAGACAGGGUUUCUCUGUAGUUUUUGGUGCCUGUUCUGGAACUAGCUCUUGUAGACCAGGCUGCUGGCCUCAAACUCACAGAGAUCUGCCUGCCUCUGCCUCCCAAGAGCUGGGAUUAAAGGCAUGCACCACCACCGCCUGGCUCGAACCCAGGUCUUUACACGCGCUAGGCUAAUGCUCUAUCACUGCAGUAACUCCUCAGCUGUUUUUGUUUUGUUUGAGCGGUAGUCUCACUCUGUGGCCCAAGCUGGCCCAGACACCCAGACCUCUUUUUGCUUCAUCCUUUCAAGGAGGUAGGGUUACAGGCUUGUGCUAUCAGCCGAGCUACAUAAAUUAUUAUUUUAAAAAUCUUUUAUUAUCUUAUGUGUAGGUAAUUGUGAUGGUUUGAAAGAAAAUGUUCCCCCAAAGGGGGUGGCACUAUUAGGAGUUGUGGCCUUGUUGGAGUAGGUGUGGUCGUGUUGGAGGAAGUGUGUCACUGAUGGGGUGGGCUUUGAGGUUUCAUAUAUGCUCAAGGUACUUCCUGUUGCCUAUGGGUCAAGGUGUAGGGCUCAAAGUUCCAGCACCAUAUCUAUAGCAUGCUGCCGUGACCCAUGAUGGCAGUGGACUGAACCUCUGAACUGUCUUCAUUUGUCAGAGUUGCUGUGGUCAUGGUGUCUCUUCACAGCAACAGAAACGUUAACUGAAACAGUAAUUUCCCUGCAUGUAUGUAUAUCUGUGUGUCACUUGCAUGUCUGGUGUCUACGGAGAUCAGAAAAUAUCGUCAGAUGCCCUGAAACUGGAGUCACCAACAGCUGUGGUCCGAUGUGAGUGCUGGGAAUCGAACCUGGGUCUCCUGGAAGAAGAGCCAGUGCUCUUAAUCAUUAAGCUAUUUCUCCAGUUCCUUUUGUAAAUUGUUUUAAAUGGUGUGUCAGAAGGAACAGCAGAUCUUGGCAAUCACAACACAUUCUUCCUCUUGAUUGGCUAGGCACUAAGAAUAGACACUAGUUACCAACGGCCAAGCACACUGGUUUCUCAGCUCCUUCCCAGGCCUCCGUGGGAUCCCACAGCCCAGUGGCAGGAAGUCACAGGCAGCAGACUAUGAAGGGCCCACACAUUCAGAGUGCACUCUCCCUGAGCUUUGUUCAGCCAUUAGGGAAGGAUAGAUGUUCUCUGAAGUGCGUCCAACCUGGGAAUGUCAUGCUCAACCUUGUGCUUGGGGUUGAAUGCAGCCGCCCCCCCCCCCCCCAGAGUUCCUGUGCGGAACAAAGUCCAGUACCUCCUAUGUCAAGAUGACUAUUGGGGGCAUGAGGUUGGGGCUCCUACACAGACACCAUUGGCUGCUGUAGAGGGGUAUUCACUGUGCUGGACCCAUGCAGAAUUUACUCAGAGCCUCUACAUUUCCUCUUAGGUGUUCAAUUUCUCUUACUUCUUUCUAGUUAGUUUGGUUUUUAAGAACAAAAGGCUUUCACCCUUUAUUUUAUAGUGUGUUUGUGUGUGUGCGCACACACACGGUAGUACAUGUGUGGAGUUCAAAGAACAAUUCACAGAAGUUGUUUUUUCUCUUCCCCCCAUGUUAACAAGUAGCCUCUGUGUGUUUCUUUGGGACUGAACGGCUGCGGGACGGGUGGGACAGAAACCUCUGUCAACAAAUGGUGUCAAUGUGGGCAACUAUAUCUACAUAAAACGUGAGAGAGCUUGAGAAGUAAUUCCAGACAUAAAAGAACAGAGUUAACCACCACUUCCUGACAGCAGUAUUUUCUCAGGUGGGCUUUGUUUGCUAAAGGCAAGUGUGUCUCAUUUAAGAGAGGCUUCCUGACUCAGCUUUAGCUGCAAAAACCUGGCAGCUCUUUUAAGAGGCCCCACCACCAAACACUUCAAUGGUGCUUAUGAAUAGCUGACAGCAUGCUUCUUGGUAGUAGCAGGUACCCUGAAACUCCAUAGAGCUGUGGCAAUAAACAUGGCUCCCGCUGGUACCUCUGCCAUGAAGCUAGACUCUCAGAAAGCUAAGGAAUGGCUGGAUGUAGCCGUAAGUCAUGACUUUAAUCCUAGCCAUACCGUUUAACAAAUUAAAGACUCAGGUGGUCAUAAAAAGAGAGAUAUACAGUAAAGAUAGAUUCAGAUGAAAAAACACUCUAAAUGGUUUACAGUGUGUUUAAAAAUAUAUGUAGGCAUGGGAGAAAAAAGAAAAAAGGAUAAAGUCCUUAAAAAAAAGAUAGAGAAUAGUUGGGUGUGGUGCACACCUUUAAUUCCAGCACUUGGGAAGCAGAGGCAGGGGGAUCUCUGUGAGUUCAAGAACAGCCUGGUCUAUGGAGCGAGUUCCAGGACAGCCAAAGGUACACAGAAAAACCAAAAAAUUAAAAAUAAAAAUAAAAGAAAUAGAGUUUUAAAAAAGCCAUGUAAAGAUGGAAAAUACACAGAGAAUCUGGAUACUGUAUGCUAUUGUGUUGUCUUUGACUUGUUUGAUGGCUGAAGAAAGAGCAACAUCUGGUAGAUGACAUUUGAUUAUAAAUGCUGCUGUAUUAAUUUAACAUAUAUAUUUUGAAAAUACCUUGACUUCAACAUUUAAGUCAAAAGAUAUGUUACUUUUGAGAAGAGGUUUUGCUUUUGUUUCCACAGGAAAUAUGAUGCUGUGGAUUCAUUCUGGGUUAAGAAAAGUAAGUUUUGUUCAAGGAAGACCCCCUGAAAAUCUCCAAUGGGAACAGAUGGCCCAGAUGAUCCAACAUUUCAGAGCACCUCUGUUGCAGUUUCUUCUGAGUUCUACCUCCAGAACAGCCUCAAGACUGUUGACUGAGAUGACCAAGCCUCACAGAAUAUUCCAGUCAGGA